UGCUUUUCGAAUCCGCUCAGAGAUUUUGUCAGACACCAACCCAUUAGGGCUGAUCAGAUUUCCAAGAUAAGUGAAGUU
rnacentral:pre_miRNA from 1 species